rnacentral:rRNA from 1 species
UGAAUUGACGGGGCCGCACAAGCGGUGGAGCAUGUGGUUUAAUUCGACGCAACGCGAAGAACCUUACCAGGGCUUGACAUCCCCUGACCGCGUAUGAAAGUACGUUUUCACCCUCGGGUGACAGGGAGACAGGUGGUGCAUGGUUGUCGUCAGCUCGUGUCGUGAGAUGUUGGGUUAAGUCCCGCAACGAGCGCAACCCCUACGUUUAGUUGCUAACGCGUGAAGGCGAGCACUCUAGACGAACUGCCGUUGACAAAACGGAGGAAGGUGGGAUGACGUCAAAUCAUCAUGCCCCUUAUGUUCUGGGCUACACACGUGCUACAAUGGCCGGUACAGACGGACGCAAAGCCGCGAGGUGGAGCAAAUCCUAAAAAGCCGGUCUCAGUUCGGAUUGCAGGCUGCAAUUCGCCUGCAUGAAGUCGGAAUCGCUAGUAAUCGCAGGUCAGCAUACUGCGGUGAAUACGUUCCCGGGCCUU